rnacentral:lncRNA from 1 species
GUGGAUUGAAAGUCAAGGAAUAUGAGUUGUUGAGAAGGAACUUCAGUGAAACCGGCUGUUUUGGGUUUGGUAUUCAGGAGCACAUUGAUCUUGGAAUCAAGUAAGCAAAUUGUCAUCUAAUUAUAUCUUUCCUGUUUUUAGCUUUCCUAAUCAACAAAAUUAGCUACUUCUAACAUUAUUUGUCUGUCGUUGGCCUUCCUUGUUUAUAACACGAACUGUGUUAAAAAAUUUGCUGGAAAUUCCUUCUACAUAACAUUUUUAAUUUGAUAUAUAUGAAAAAAUUCCGUUUCUAAGCUGUGUCAUUCUACUUUUUCUUAUCUGUUUCACAGAUAUGACCCUUCAACUGGUAUUUAUGGUAUGGAUUUCUAUGUUGUAUUGGAGCGCCCUGGAUACCGUGUUGCUCGUCGUCGUAGGUGCAAGUCUCGAGUUGGGAUCCAGCACAGGGUCACAAAGGAGGACGCAAUGAAGUGGUUCCAGGUCAAAUAUGAAGGUGUUAUUCUUAACAAGUCCUCAAACCUUCAGUGAUAAGCUGAGAGCCGGCUUCUGGACUAGCAAGUUUAUAUCUAUGUAUUUUUUAGACCUAGAGGAAAGUUUUUGAAAGUUUCUAUUAGUUGGUGUAUGAGGAUGUGUAAGUUCUCAUUUUGGCUAUCAGAUGAAUUCAAUCCUUUUUUUGUGGUCAUUUUCUUUUUCUGCAAUCAAAGUAGAAUCGACAAUGUAGUCUUACAACAGAAAUUAUGAAUACCUAAUUGGUUGCCUAUUGUGGUAAUGUGUUGAUCACUGUUUGAUUGUUUUUAUUAAAUCUGCUUUGAAGAGCUUGAUGUUUGGCAUGUGAAGCUACCAGUAUGUUAUUAAAGUUUUACUGUAAGUGGUCUUUAACUAUGCUGGAUCUAGAGAUUCUGGUCGUGUGCUGAUGAAGCAGUUACUUGACAGCUGUAUUUUGGAGAAAUGGUUGGAGAUGGUUUUGUUUCUAAAUCUGUGUCUGCACUGUAUACUCCACACAAUUCACUGCAAUAUUUUUUGUUGCCUGUGUAGCCGUAAGCAGCAUGAAUAUCCUUAAGAACUUAAAAUAAGAGUGACUACCCGAGAGGUUACUGCAUCACCCAAUGGCUUCUCUCUACCUCGUGAGUAUUGGCCUUGAUCAACGUCUUCGUCGCAACAUAAAAAGCUUGGUUGCUUGGCGCUGAUGCAAUUUCAGAAGAAUAGAAUAUUACAGUGUCUGUAUGCACAGUUCCUGACAAGAUCACUUCUGAAAAUAGUAUUUAUUAUAUUAUGCUACUAUCGAAAUACAGAAAACCUAAGACAAUCGUAAAAGAUUACAAUGUUUGACAUAUUCCUUG